AAGUAUCUUCGGAUAUGAGUAGAGCGGCGGACGGGUGAGUAACGCGUAGGAAUCUACCUAGUAGAAGGGGAUAGCCCGGGGAAACUCGGAUUAAUACCGUAUACCUCCUUCGGGAGAAAGAAGGCCUCUCUUUGAAGCUUUCGCUAUUAGAUGAGCCUGCGUAAGAUUAGCUUGUUGGUGAGGUAAAGGCUCACCAAGGCGACGAUCUUAGCGGGUCUGAGAGGACGAUCCGCCACAUUGGGACUGAGACACGGCCCAGACUCCUACGGGAGGCAGCAGUGGGGAAUAUUGGACAAUGGGCGCAAGCCUGAUCCAGCCAUACCGCGUGUGUGAAGAAGGCCCUAGGGUUGUAAAGCACUUUAAGUUGGGAAGAAAAGUUAUUGGUUAAUACCCAAUAACCGUGACAUUACCAUCAGAAUAAGGACCGGCUAAUUCCGUGCCAGCAGCCGCGGUAAUACGGAAGGUCCAAGCGUUAAUCGGAAUUACUGGGCGUAAAGCGCGCGUAGGUGGUUUAUUAAGUUGGAUGUGAAAUCCCCGGGCUCAACCUGGGAACUGCAUCCAAAACUGAUUCACUAGAGUACGAUAGAGGGAGGUAGAAUUCACAGUGUAGCGGUGGAAUGCGUAGAUAUUGUGAAGAAUACCAAUGGCGAAGGCAGCCUCCUGGAUCUGUACUGACACUGAGGUGCGAAAGCGUGGGUAGCGAACAGGAUUAGAUACCCUGGUAGUCCACGCCGUAAACGAUGUCAACUAGCUGUUGGAGAACUAUGUUCUUCAGUGGCGCAGCUAACGUAGUAAGUUGACCGCCUGGGGGAGUACGGCCGCAAGGCUAAAACUCAAAUGAAUUGACGGGGACCCGCACAAGCGGUGGAGCAUGUGGUUUAAUUCGAUGCAACGCGAAAAACCUUACCUAUACUUGACAUACUUGGAAUGCUUUGUAAUGAAGCAGUGCCUUCGGGAGCCAAGAUACAGGUGCUGCAUGGCUGUCGUCAGCUCGUG
rnacentral:rRNA from 1 species